ensembl:lncRNA
CCCACUUUCUCUUUUCCUGUCCAUUGGUUGGAAGCAAAAAGCCCUACAGGAUGGUGGAGGCAUAAGAUGGGAGCCCCUGAAUCACCAUCUGGACCCCUAAGUGGACUUUAUUUGACCUAUGCACACAUUUCUGUUCUACAGAGCCACUGAGAUUGUAGGGUCUGUUACAGUUAGACUGAGCAAUGGGCAGACCAGUUAGGAGAAAGAACCAGCAGGACUUGGUGAUGGAUUGGAUGAGCAAGAAGGAGGUCAAGAAUAACUUCUGUUUUGGCUUGAGCAAUUGUGCAGAGGAAGUUAAUGUUUCCCGAGCUGGGGAAGAUGAGAAAGCAAGCUGAACAACCACCCACUCUCUGCUCUGCGCUCCUCUACUCGUUGAAGAAGAGUCCCUUUGAGCUCAGAAAAAGUUGAGAAUCUAGCUAUUCAAAGGCUGAAUGAAGUAUUGAAGAGAAUCAGAGAGUCAAGAGGAUGCAGAGUCCCGUGUCCACACAAGCUUCACCCUACCAUCCAAUCCAUUUUUCUUACUGCAAGAAGAGUGACAUCAUCCUGUCGCCCACUAACUUCAUCAGUGGCCUUCCACUGCCCUCAAGACAGAAUGAACUGCUAACUCCUAUCAAGUGCAUCUUCUGCCCAAUCCUUCCCUGGCUCUCCCCGCCGCACCCACUGACCUAGACUCCAGCCAAACACAGAGACUCACAGUUGUUAGCAGGGGCUCACCC